rnacentral:rRNA from 1 species
AUUGAACGCUGGCGGCAGGCCUAACACAUGCAAGUCGAGCGGAUGAAGGGAGCUUGCUCCUGGAUUCAGCGGCGGACGGGUGAGUAAUGCCUAGGAAUCUGCCUGGUAGUGGGGGAUAACGUCCGGAAACGGGCGCUAAUACCGCAUACGUCCUGAGGGAGAAAGUGGGGGAUCUUCGGACCUCACGCUAUCAGAUGAGCCUAGGUCGGAUUAGCUAGUUGGUGGGGUAAAGGCCUACCAAGGCGACGAUCCGUAACUGGUCUGAGAGGAUGAUCAGUCACACUGGAACUGAGACACGGUCCAGACUCCUACGGGAGGCAGCAGUGGGGAAUAUUGGACAAUGGGCGAAAGCCUGUUCCAGCCAUGCCGCGUGUGUGAAGAAGGUCUUCGGAUUGUAAAGCACUUUAAGUUGGGAGGAAGGGCAGUAAGUUAAUACCUUGCUGUUUUGACGUUACCAACAGAAUAAGCACCGGCUAACUUCGU